rnacentral:rRNA from 1 species
GACGAACGCUGGCGGCGUGCUUAACACAUGCAAGUCGAGCGGUAAGGCCCUUCGGGGUACACGAGCGGCGAACGGGUGAGUAACACGUGGGUGACCUGCCUUUAGCUCUGGGAUAAGCCUGGGAAACUGGGUCUAAUACCGGAUAUGACCUCAUGACGCAUGUUGUGGGGUGGAAAGCCUUGUGCGGCUAGAGAUGGGCCCGCGGCCUAUCAGCUUGUUGGUGGGGUGANGGCCUACCAGGGCGACGACGGGUAGCCGGCCUGAGAGGGCGACCGGCCACACUGGGACUGAGACACGGCCCAGACUCCUACGGGAGGCAGCAGUGGGGAAUCUUGCGCAAUGGGCGAAAGCCUGACGCAGCGACGUCGCGUGAGGGAUGACGGCCU